rnacentral:rRNA from 1 species
AGCGAACGCUGGCGGCAGGCCUAACACAUGCAAGUCGAACGAACUCUUCGGAGUUAGUGGCGGACGGGGGAGUAACACGUGGGAACGUGCCCAUUGGUUCGGGAUAACUCAGGGAAACUAGUGCUAAUACCGAAUGUGCCCUACGGGGGAAAGGUUUAUUGCCAUUGGAGCGGCCCGCGUCUGAUUAGCUAGUUGGUGUGGUAACGGCUCACCAAGGCGACGAUCAGUAGCUGGUCUGAGAGAAUGGCCAGCCACACUGGGACUGGGACACGGCCCGGACUCCUACGGGAGGCAGGAGUGGGUGAUCUUGCGCAAUGGGCGAAAGCAUGACGGAGCCAUGCCGGGUGAAUGAUGAAGGUCUUAGGAUUGUAAAAUUCUUUCACCGGGGACGAUAAUGACGGUACCCGGAGAAGAAGCCCCGGCUAACUUCGUG